UACGUAGGUGACAAGCGUUGUCCGGAAUUACUGGGCGUAAAGGGCUCGUAGGCGGCCAACUAAGUCGGAUGUGAAAUCCCCAGGCUCAACCUGGGAACUGCAUCCGAUACUGGAUGGCUUGAAUUCGGGAGAGGGAUGCAGAAUUCCAGGUGUAGCGGUGAAAUGCGUAGAUAUCUGGAGGAAUACCGGUGGCGAAGGCGGCAUCCUGGACCGACAUUGACGCUGAGGAGCGAAAGCUAGGGGAGCAAACGGG
rnacentral:rRNA from 1 species